CUCUGUUCGGGAAGUCAGAACACGUUGGAUGCGGCCUUUGUAUUUGGAACUUCGUACACUCGGUCUUGCACUCUUGAAGUCUCCGACCUCCUACGAAGUGUCCCCGAACCCAUAUUUUAUGAGCUGUUCUUGCAGUUUGAUGACGAGAAAGGGAAUGUUGAUUUGUGGCCAAUCCCUGUAGACAAUCCAGCCAUACUGACAAAUAACCAAGCAUUUCCAAAUUCUGGGGCGCUCAGAAGAUUCUUUCUGGUUGACGGGCUCUCAGGCAGAAAAGCCAACUUGACAAAUGCUCCAGCAUCUGUUACACUUGCAGCAGAAUUGCUCCUCAGCAUAUCCUUGCCAACUAGUAAUCCCGGAGCCAACCCUCCUUUCCUGCUGACGGUGAAAUAUGCCACGCAGAGCAACC